rnacentral:rRNA from 1 species
CCGCUGUACUUAAGCAUAUCAAUAAGCGGAGGAAAAGAAACCAACAGGGAUUGCCUCAGUAACGGCGAGUGAAGCGGCAAGAGCUCAAAUUUGAAAUCUGGCGCCUCCGGCGUCCGAGUUGUAAUUUGGAGAGGAUGCUUCGGGUGCGGCCGCGGCCUAAGUCCCCUGGAACGGGGCGUCGCAGAGGGUGAGAAUCCCGUCUUUGGUCGCCGGUGCGCGCCCGUGUGAAGCUCCUUCGACGAGUCGAGUUGUUUGGGAAUGCAGCUCUAAAUGGGUGGUAAAUUUCAUCUAAAGCUAAAUACUGGCGGGAGACCGAUAGCGAACAAGUAGAGUGAUCGAAAGGUUAAAAGCACCUUGAAAAGGGAGUUAAACAGCACGUGAAAUUGUUGAAAGGGAAGCGCUUGCAGCCAGACUCGGGCGCGGGGGUUCAGCGGGCACGCGUGCCCGUGCACUCCCCCGCGGCCGGGCCAGCAUCGGUUCGGGCGGCCGGUCAAAGGCCCCGGGAAUGUGUCGCCCUCCGGGGCGUCUUAUAGCCCGGGGUGCAAUGCGGCCAGCCUGGACCGAGGAACGCGCUUCGGCUCGGA